UACAACUCCCCAAACUCCAAUUUUUUAAGAGACCCAACAGCAAAACCCAUCAAUUCCAAAUUAUCACGGCCAAUUACAAAAGCUUCAGCAGCCCGCAAAAAGAUACCCAUACAACGUAUAACAGUUCCAAAAUAGCCCACGAAGAAGUCGACCUGACCCGACUCAUCCCUCCUCUUCUUCACAAGAAGAAACCGUGAAGCGUACAACAACGGUACACGUCUUAACAGCAUCAAAACACAACAACAAUAGUGCGCGUGAAUAGCAAAAAAAGUCCUAAACGUGCCUCACCACUUCUCACGCCAUAAACGACAAGUCACGUGGCGUCAAAAUAGACGGAAAGGGGCAGCGACACAGGAAGUACACUUCUUUGUGUUGUCGUCUUCUUCCCUUUCAUGGACAUCCAGUACGUCUAGUGCUGUACCAGUUGCAAUUUGUCUCGCUUUAGCUGCGUUUCAGCCCUUGUAGCAACAAGAUCAAGACACGUCAAGCAGCGAGUACGUUCGAUCAAUCCGGAGCAUCAGUCUCAAUUCUAUCCGUUCAAAAUUUGAGGGAAUCCCUUGGAAUAUUCCUUAGUUUUUGAUAGAACACCAAAUUUUGUGGGCCUAGAAUUCAAUUUUAAUCUUUUUUCCCUCUUUUAUGCCCUAAUUUUAUUCUAUGUAAACUUUCUCUUCCCUAUUGUUAAAAAAAAGAAUUGAUCGUUCUUCAUUAAGGGAGAGAUUUUUUUAGUUGUUAAAAGUUAGAAGAAAAGUGAGAGAUUUUUAACUAAGGCAGAGGGGAUAGUUCAAGCAGUUAGUAAUAAAAUAUGUAUAAAAAUACUUACGAGAAAGGGUAAACUAGGGCUUUUCGUUUGGCUGUCCUAUUCGUGAUUUUGUGGUGGAACUCGCCGUCAUUCCCCUGCUCGUUCUUGUCUUCGUCGCUGCUCCAAAGAAGGUACUCAAAACUUGUCUGUGUCGAUAAACUUUGUGAUCAUCCCUAUUUCACAAGAUCUAAAGGCCCUACAGAUUCCUUUUCUAGCAAAAGUUCACGUAAUGGAAAAACAACAAUAGGUAAUAACAAUGAAGAAAUCAAACUUAGUGAUGAUGUGGUGACUCGAUCUGCCAUCGCCUAUCAAAAUGAACUGAUCAUGCAGAUGAUGCAACAGAAUGCCGAUAUGAGGGUUGAGAUGCAGAGGAGGCAAUAUCUGCCUCAACCAAUUUGUAUUGCCAAUGUUGCGGCAUAUGGAAGGGCUCCUCUUUACUUUCCUUCUUGAAACAUGGAACAGACUUAAUACCCACCUUCCUAUCUAAUCACCCAGAAUCCUCAAUAUGCCUCCGUCUCCUAUCUAACUGAACAACCUCCUAAAAAUACCAACCCUCAAAUGCCACCUCCCCCUAAAAAUGUGAACCCACCAAACCGAUCCACCCCAACAAAACAAAAACACAUACAACCCCCAAAUGUCCAUCCAUCAAGAAAAUUCAACACACUAAGCCCCAAAUAAUCCCACAAAACCACCAAACCACACAAAAAUCUCCAAGUCCUUCCUUCGCUCUACCUCUACAUCAAAAAACAACCUUCUGAAUUCUCAUCAUCAAUGAGCAUGACACUAAUGGUACUGAGCUCGAUAACUAUGAACAGUAGAAAAUAUAGUGGAGGUUGAAGAAAGAGGAAACAAAGUUUGAUAUAAAGGAAGAGAUUUGGAAGGCAAUGAAAGAGAUACAGUGUAUUUCUGAGGUCACCGACUUAAGUUAAGAGAAUUUCUACGUUCACCCAAAUUCGACCCCGCCAAGAGGGAUUCAAGGUCCAAAAGUUUGAUGUUUUUGGACGAACAGGGAACCCCUUAGCGCACCUUAGGGCCUACUGUGACUAGCUCGUGGGAGUUGGGAUAUACGAAGAUGUAUUGAUGGGACUCUUUGGAUGAAGUCUUUGCAGAGAGGAUCUAGAGUGGUUUACAUCUCAUGAAACAAGACAGUGCCUAACUGGAAUGCCCUGACUAAGAAUUUUAUCGAACAAUUCUCUUAUUACAUGGUGAUUGUUCCCGAUCGUUAUUCCUUGGAAGAUAUGAAAUAUAAAUCCAAUGAAAGCUAUAGAGAGUUUGCAUAUAUAUGGCAAAAGGAGGCAACCAGAGUUCAACCUCCCUUGCCUGAGAAGGAAAUCGUUGAAGUAUUUGUGUGGGUUCAGUAAUAUGAUAGAAUCAUGUUUCUUGUUGGAGAAAAGUUUGUUGAAAUAGUAAAAGUAGGUGAGACUAUCGAUGAAGGAUUGAAAACCGGGAAGAUUGCUCGGGUUGUUCCCUUGCCUUGAACCUCGAGUUUGUUGAAAAAGAAAAGAGAAUAGGUGUUCUUUA